AUUGAACGCUGGCGGCAGGCCUAACACAUGCAAGUCGAGCGGUAGAGAGGUGCUUGCAUCUCUUGAGAGCGGCGGACGGGUGAGUAAUGCCUAGGAAUCUGCCUAGUGGUGGGGGAUAACGUUCGGAAACGGACGCUAAUACCGCAUACGUCCUACGGGAGAAAGCGGGGGAUCUUCGGACCUCGCGCCAUUAGAUGAGCCUAGGUCGGAUUAGCUAGUUGGUGAGGUAAUGGCUCACCAAGGCGACGAUCCGUAACUGGUCUGAGAGGAUGAUCAGUCACACUGGAACUGAGACACGGUCCAGACUCCUACGGGAGGCAGCAGUGGGGAAUAUUGGACAAUGGGCGAAAGACCUGAUCCAGCCAUGCCGCGUGUGUGAAGAAGGUCUUCGGAUUGUAAAGCACUUUAAGUUGGGAGGAAGGGUAGUAACCUAAUACGUUGCUACUUUGUACGUUACCGUACACGAAUAAG
rnacentral:rRNA from 1 species